rnacentral:rRNA from 1 species
UCUGGCUCAGGAUGAACGCUAGCUACAGGCUUAACACAUGCAAGUCGAGGGGCAGCAUUGGGAUAGCUUGCUAUUCAGAUGGCGACCGGCGCACGGGUGAGUAACGCGUAUCCAACCUUCCUGCCAGUAGGGAACAGCCCGGCGAAAGUCGGAUUAAUGCCCUAUGUUCUUCAAUGCGGACAUCUAAGUUGAAGGAAAGAUUCAUCGCUGGCAGAUGGGGAUGCGUCCGAUUAGCUUGCCGGCGGGGUAACGGCCCACCGGGGCGACGAUCGGUAGGGGUUCUGAGAGGAAGGUCCCCCACGCUGGUACUGAGACACGGACCAGACUCCUACGGGAGGCAGCAGUGAGGAAUAUUGGUCAAUGGGCGUAAGCCUGAACCAGCCAAGUAGCGUGCCAGGAUGACGGCCCUACGGGUUGUAAACUGCUUUUAUGCGGGGAUAAAGUGCGGCACGUGUGCCGCUUUGCAGGUACCGCAUGAAUAAGGACCGGCUAAUUCCGUGCCAGCCGCCGC